rnacentral:rRNA from 1 species
UACGUCCACAUCUUUUAGGUGUGGAUCAAUUGACUGUCAUACUUCCAAGAAAAGCUCGCACUACUGUAAAGCAUUAAAUACCUGUACCGUAAACCGACACAGGUGGGUUGGUAGAGUAUACCAAGGGGCGCGAGAUAACUCUCUCUAAGGAACUCGGCAAAAUGACCCCGUAACUUCGGGAGAAGGGGUGCCAAGUAACUCAAAUUGCUUGGUCGCAGUGACCAGGCCCUGGCGACUGUUUAUCAAAAACACAGGUCUCCGCAAAGUCGUAAGACAACAUACGGGGGCUGACGCCUGCCCAGUGCCGGAAGGUUAAAGAAGUUGGUUAUUCAUUUUUGGAGAAGCUGACGACUGAAGCCCCGGUGAACGGCGGCCGUAACAAUAACGGUCCUAAGGUAGCGAAAUUCCUUGUCGGGUAAGUUCCGACCCGCACGAAAGGCGUAACGAUCAGGGCACUGUCUCGGAGAGAGACUCGGUGAAAUAGACAUGUCUGUGAAGAUGCGGACUACCUGCACCUGGACAGAAAGACCCUAUGAAGCUUGACUGUAGCUUGGAAUUGGGUUCGGGCUCUUCUUGCGCAGCCUAGGUGGGAGGCGUUGAAAGCUUUCUUUUGGGAAAGCUGGAGCCAUCAGUGAGAGACCACUCUGGAGGAGCUAGAAUUCUAAUGGCGUUCCUUGAAGCAGGACGCUUGACAUUUUCAGGUGGGCAGUUUGACUGGGGCGGUCACCUCCUAAAAGGUAACGGAGGUGUGCAAAGGUUCCCUCAGGCUGGACGGAAAUCAGCCGUAGAGUGUAAAGGCAGAAGGGGGCUUGACUGCAAGACCUACAAGUCGAGCAGGGGCGAAAGCCGGCCUUAGUGAUCCGACGGUUCCAUGUGGAAGGGCCGUCGCUCAACGGAUAAAAGUUACUCUAAGGAUAACAGGCUGAUCUUCCCCAAGAGUUCACAUCGACGGGAAGGUUUGGCACCUCGAUGUCGGCUCAUCGCAACCUGGGGCGGUAGUACGUCCCAAGGGUUGGGCUGUUCGCCCAUGAAAGCGGUACGUGAGCUGGGUUCAGAACGUCGUGAGACAGUUCGGUCCAUAUCCGGUGUAGGCGUUAGAGCAUUGAGAGGAGCCUUCCAUAGUACGAGAGGACCUGGAAGGACACACCUCUGGUAUACCAGUUAUCAUGCCAAUGGUAAACGCUGGGUAGCCAUGUGUGGAGUGGAUAACCGCUGAAAGCAUCUAAGUGGGAAGCCCACCUCAAGAUGAGUGCUCUCCAUUAGGUCACAGGAAGACAACCUGUUUGAUAGGCAGAAGGUGUAAGGCCAGUAAUGGCUUCAGCUGAUCUGUACUAAUAGACCGAUUGAUUUUGACC